rnacentral:rRNA from 1 species
GACGAACGCUGGCGGCGUGCUUAACACAUGCAAGUCGAACGGAAAGGCCCUGCUUGCAGGGUACUCGAGUGGCGAACGGGUGAGUAACACGUGGGUGAUCUGCCCUGCACUUCGGGAUAAGCCUGGGAAACUGGGUCUAAUACCGGAUAGGAGCCAUUUUUAGUGUGAUGGUUGGAAAGUUUUUUCGGUGUAGGAUGAGCUCGCGGCCUAUCAGCUUGUUGGUGGGGUAAUGGCCUACCAAGGCGGCGACGGGUAGCCGGCCUGGGAGGGUGGACGGCCACAUUGGGACUGGGAUACGGCCCAGACUCCUACGGCAGGCAGCAGUGGGGAAUAUUGCACAAUGGGCGCAAGCCUGAUGCAGCGACGCCGCGUGGGGGAUGACGGCCUUCGGGUUGUAAACUCCUUUCGCUAGGGACGAAGCUUUUUGUGACGGUACCUAGAGAAGAAGCACCGGCUAACUACGUG